AAUUUAAUACUUUAGAAGUUGAAACGCAAACUCUAAAACUAUUUCCCCUGUAAUCUCUGUUCUCUCUCUCUUUUCCUCAACUAUCGAUCUGCUUCUCUUUCUCUCUCUUCCCCUCUUCACUCACUCUCGAUCUGCUUCUCCGAAUGCAUGUCGAGGUUUUGUUUGAUUCAUCGAUCCUCCACUCCUCCCAGUAGCUCUUUCAAAAUUUACCCAUGGCGGUGGUGCGAUCAUUUUCUUAGGCCACCGCAUUGGAUCUCUUUUAUAGCUCUAUAUCUUCGCGUCAUCGACCAUUGUUGCCGCCCUCGAGUAGCCGUUGCUCCUCCUCGAACGCCGGCGACGUUCUCAUCAAAUUUCCAGCUUGCAGGUUUUAAGCUGGAAGUUGUCAAAACAACUUGUGCUGGACAUGCUAAGAAACUUGCCUCUACUGUUGACUUUAGCACGUCCUGAUGGGAUUGUAUGUGUUGGAGGUGAUGGCAUUGUGAAUGAGGUUUUAAAUGGUCUGCUCAGUAGGGAUAAUCAGAAAGAGGCCAUCUGGAUGUUUUCUUUGACCCUUCCAGCAGCUUGUUUAAUGUUCGAGGCCUCUGAACCUUGACGAGGAGACAUUAAUGAAAAUAUGUAUAUCAGUUAGAUCUUGUAACAAGGGAAGAUGAUAUUACUUGGGAAUUUGCAGCUGUUCAUGUGGUUGAGGAAGGUCCCGCCUUGUCUUGCAUUUCUGUAGACCACCAGAUACUUGUCUGCCUUAUCGAAUUGAAAAUCAUCUUCGUGAUGCUUCUAUUACUUAUUAUCAAAAGGAUUCAUUUCAGCCAGAAACUCUUGCAAGCAGAGGCAGUGUGAACUAUGUCUGGGAUAACUUGACUCGACCGCACAAGCUCAUUGUCAAAAUUAAUGGUGUUCAAACGCUACGUGAAAUCAGCUUAGAUAAACUGCGCCCAUGGAAGUCCUUUUUUCGGGUGGGAAAAUAGAGAGCUCUGCCUUCUCAUUUACCAGUAGAUACCAGAGCCUCUAAUAGAAGGGGCACGAAUCUUGCUCAGAUAAAUGGUAUUGAUGUAGCAAACGUGGGGGUAUGAAGUAUAUGUUGAUGGUCCUACUCGUGUUUUACGAAUUUCUCACUCACCUGGAAGUAUCAGUCAUGCAUGAAGAUUCAGUUUAGAAUCUCUUAUCUUGCAAUUUGCUUGCUUGAACCCUGCAAGCAAGAUCAGCUGGAGGAUUUGGAUCCCUAUGAUCUGCCAACGUACACACCGUUUAUUAUUAGUAGAUUAAAUAACAUUAGUAUUGAUUCAAUCAUUAUUGAUCAGCGGAUAUACAGUCAAAUUAGGGUACAGGUGAGAUCAUAUUCUUCCUGCUCUUGAGCAUUUUUCUUUGUGUUUGCUUAGCUUUUCCCUUAACUGCUAAUUCCUAGAGACCUUUAGAUGUGAAAGAUUAACUGAGGAUAUUUUCAGCACAGUUAUGUGUUACAUCAUGAGGUAACUAUUAUCAUGUCAAAUGGAGGACUAUGGUUGAUAUACAUGGAGUAAAUAGUUAUCAUCUCCUUUAUACUUGGGCAGGAUAUUGACUGCAUGCCUUUGAAUCCACUGGAGAAUAUGCCAGAAGCAUUGAGGAGGCAGAAGAUGCUAUCUGAUUACUGGCAUGUACAAGUUCCAAAAGUCAAUGAAGCAAUUAUGCCAGUUUGAGAGGAGCAUACGAAGAUUGUCGAUCACCGUUUCCAUGUUCCUUCAUUCAGCCCAUCAAUUGCAAAUAAUAUGAAGAAAAACAAGAACCUGAGCAACAAAUGACUGCUUACUUGUGGCAGAAAAUCAAGAACCCGCUCUGAAGGGUAGUUCAGCAACAAAUGACUGCUUACAUGUGGUAGAAAAUCAGGUUCUUUAUAUAUUCCGACAAACAUCAUACUGAUAGCCUAUUAUUACACUUCCUGAUGAUGUAAGCGAGUAACUGAGGCUUCAAGGUGCAUCUAUUCCACUAGUCUAGCCUGGAAGGAGUACGGAUGGUGCAUGCAUCUAUGCGACAGUUGCAGCAAGGCAAAUUAUGGUUGGUGGCUUGGUGCACAGCAAGUACUUAGAUAAAGUAAUCAAUAGACUAAUAAAAAAAGCCACUAUAAUCCAUGUGACAACUAGAAAAAAUUCAGGAAAAGGCAUGAUGGUCGCAUAUUCCAUAGCUUACAAUAAAUAUGUUCAUGGAGAAAUAGGACCUAAGAUAUAUUUGUAAUAGUACCUCACUA